GGGUUCAAAUAUAAUCGAACCAUCUUCACUUUUGUUGGAUAGUUCACUUCGGACAUAAUGGGAAGCUCAAUUUGCACACCGUGAAAAUUCAUUUCAUUUUUCUAUGAAACAAACUAAAUGGUAAUGGUGAGUUCACUUUUGUAAAAGUGAAGUUCACUCCGCAAAUAAAAUGAAGUUCAUUUGAACAAAAAUGCAUAUUGUCGAGGAGCUCAAUCUUGUUUUGAUGUAUAAAAGCAUUAUCUAGUAUUUCAUUUGCUCUUGACCAUCUACCACUGUCUACUAGUAUCCUUAUGCUACCUUUUUUGUUAUAUGUAAGGUACACCACUUGAUCAAGCCUACCAUGCUAUAUCCGGUAAUACUCCAUGGGGAAGUUUGUCUAUUUUCUCACGGGAGUUGCCUCAUCAACUAUUUUGUCGGCCAAACCACAAUGGGAGUUCACUUUCUUUCGGUGUGAAAGUUCAGCUUUAUAUAGUCGGUGUAUCUUCACAAAAUUCAUUUUCGGAAUGCUUUUGGAUACUCCAUUUUUGCUAUUUGUAAGCCUAUAAGAUCUGGGAGAGGUGGAAAAGCAGCGGAGUUUGGAUAAAACACAGGAAUGAAACAUUGCAGUUGUAUUAUACUAUUAUGGUUAAUAGAUUUCUGCAGUAGCAUGUCGCGCUGGUGGCGGUCAUGUCCUAAAAUUAUUGAAUGGGGCCCUGUGCUGCUGAUUCCCUGGCUGAUACCUUCUGUGAGCGGGUGCGUGCUCCUCCGACAGGUACGAUCUCUCCCACGCAAAAUGGCGCUCUAGAUUCUCUUGGAGGGUACCCACUAGUUAUAGUGAAGGGGGAGUUUCGGUGCUGUGAGGUGAAUUGUUCUUGUGAGACUCCAGUCCGUCAUGUGCCAUGAAGCUCAAUACUGAUUUUGGGGAAGUUCAGACUGUUGCGGCCUGAAGCCCACCGUGCAGGCAACAAGUCACCAGAGUUGAGCGCGAUGCUUUGUGUAGGAUUCUCACACUGAAUCCCAUGCAAAAGGUGUUGGCGAUCGAAACCAUCAGAGCAAGAAGGUGUUAUGGAUCAAUUCUGCUACUGGUGAGAAGCUAGCUUCCCUAUAUCAAUUGCUGAUUUUUGGACGUGGUGCAAGCCCAGAACUGCUUCCAGGUGGAGCAGCAUCUGCAUAGUUCGGAACUGCUACUCGGCGUGUACUAUUUGAUAUCUAUUUUAGAAAUUUUGUUUGCUAGCAUAUUAUUGUGCAGUGCUUGUGCGAGUGCUGACUAGUUUGCACUGCUUUGUAAAAUUGUGUGAGUAGUACAUGGAUGGUGAACUCACUUGUAUAUUGGGAAGUGCACUAAUUGUCUUCAUUCCAGGAAGUACACUCUGUGGGUUUGAACCGUGCAAAAAUAAUGGAAGUACACAUAUUUGGUA